AACGAACGCUGGCGGCAGGCUUAACACAUGCAAGUCGAGCGCCCCGCAAGGGGAGCGGCAGACGGGUGAGUAACGCGUGGGAAUCUACCCUUUUCUACGGAAUAACGCAGGGAAACUUGUGCUAAUACCGUAUGAGCCCUUCGGGGGAAAGAUUUAUCGGGAAAGGAUGAGCCCGCGUUGGAUUAGCUAGUUGGUGGGGUAAAGGCCUACCAAGGCGACGAUCCAUAGCUGGUCUGAGAGGAUGAUCAGCCACAUUGGGACUGAGACACGGCCCAAACUCCUACGGGAGGCAGCAGUGGGGAAUAUUGGACAAUGGGCGCAAGCCUGAUCCAGCCAUGCCGCGUGAGUGAUGAAGGCCCUAGGGUUGUAAAGCUCUUUCACCGGUGAAGAUAAUGACGGUAACCGGAGAAGAAGCCCCGGCUAACUUCGUGCCAGCAGCCGCGGUAAGAC
rnacentral:rRNA from 1 species